rnacentral:piRNA from 2 species
UGUGUCCACAUAUCUGCAAUGUGUUU